rnacentral:rRNA from 1 species
AGUGAACGCUGGCGGUAGGCCUAACACAUGCAAGUCGAACGGCAGCACAGUAAGAGCUUGCUCUUACGGGUGGCGAGUGGCGGACGGGUGAGGAAUACAUCGGAAUCUACUUUUUCGUGGGGGAUAACGUAGGGAAACUUACGCUAAUACCGCAUACGACCUACGGGUGAAAGCAGGGGAUCUUCGGACCUUGCGCGAUUGAAUGAGCUGAUGUCGGAUUAGCUAGUUGGCGGGGUAAAGGCCCACCAAGGCGACGAUACGUAGCUGGUCUGAGAGGAUGAUCAGCCACACUGGAACUGAGACACGGUCCAGACUCCUACGGGAGGCAGCAGUGGGGAAUAUUGGACAAUGGGCGCAAGCCUGAUCCAGCCAUACCGCGUGGGUGAAGAAGGCCUUCGGGUUGUAAAGCCCUUUUGUUGGGAAAGAAAAGCAGCAGGUUAAUACCCCGCUGUUCUGACGGUACCCAAAGAAUAAGCACCGGCUAACUUCGUG